GACGUAGGGCGCGAGCGUUGUCCGGAUUUAUUGGGCGUAAAGAGCUCGUAGGCGGCUUGUCGCGUCGAAUGUGAAAACCCACGGCUCAACCUGUGGGGCUUGCAGUUCGAUACGGGCAGGCUAGAGUUCGGUAGGGGAGACUGGAAUUCCUGGUGUAGCGGUGAAAUGCGCAGAUAUCAGGAGGAACACCGGAGCGAAGGCGGGUCUCUGGGCCGUACUGAUCGCGUGAGGAGCGAAAGCGUGGGGAGCGAACAGG
rnacentral:rRNA from 1 species